rnacentral:rRNA from 1 species
GACGAACGCUGGCGGCGUGCUUAACACAUGCAAGUCGAACGGAAAGGCCCUGCUUGUUUGGGGUGCUCGAGUGGCGAACGGGUGAGUAACACGUGAGUAACCUGCCCUUGACUUUGGUAUAACUUCAGGAAACUGGGGCUAAUACCGUAUAGGAGCUCCUGCUGCAUGGUGGGGGUUGGAAAGUUUCGGCGGUUGGGGAUGGACUCGCGGCUUAUCAGCUUGUUGGUGGGGUAGUGGCUUACCAAGGCUUUGACGGGUAGCCGGCCUGAGAGGGUGACCGGCCACAUUGGGACUGAGAUACGGCCCAGACUCCUACGGGAGGCAGCAGUGGGGAACAUUGCACAAUGGGAGGACGCCUGAUGCAGAAACGCCGCGUGCGGGAUGACGGCCUUCGGGUUGUAAACAGCUUUAGCCUGUGACGAAGCGUGAGUGACGGUAAUGGGUAAAGAAGCACCGGCUAACUACGUG